CGCGGUGUCUCGGAGUCGACUCGUGCAAUGCGGGAGUCGACUCGAAUCUCAGAGUCCAAAAACUGCCCUCUGACUUUUUCUUUGUGUACCGCUGAGAGUCAACUCUCGCUUUCUUUGGAGUCGACCUGCCAAUCCUUGGAGUCGAGUCGCGUUCCACAGGAGUCGACUCGAAUCUCAGGGUCGAAAACCGCUCUCUGACUUUUCUGCCUGUAACUCCUUGGAGUCGACUCAUACUUCUCCGGAGUCGACUCGGUAAACAUCGGAGUCGACUCGCGCACUUCAGGAGUCGACUCGCUGACAGGUUUUAAGUUGAUUCCUUCUGUCUGUCUGUCUGUUCUCAGUCGGAGUCGGCUCAUAAUGAUCCGGAGUCGACUCGAGCCCGUGCCAGUGAUCCUGAUACGCUUGGAGUCGACUCGUAAUAUCCUGGAGUCGACUCGAGUCUCAGACUUUGGUUCAAACUGACUUCUUAACUUAUCCAAAAUAUCUUGAACCAAGUCUAGAGACACUUAGACAAGAUUUUCACUGAAACACUCAAUUGAAUUCAUUAGUAGACAAAAGAUAUACUCAAAUGCUUUGAGCUCAUCAAAAUCAAAUAGGGUUUUAAUCAAUCACUCCACAUCCUCUUUUUGUUUAACAUAGUUAUCACAAGAUGUGCUCCCCCUGUGUCAUAUGCAUGGAUAAGUUGUGUCGAAUUUGAAUACUUAAGGUAUGUUAUGAGAUUUUUAUGGCACAUCACAAGAAACACAAACACAGUCACAGAAUCACAUACACAGUAGCACAUACACAAGGUUUCAAAAGAAAUUGUAUUCAUGUAUCAUUGUAAACCUUUGAAGUCAGUACAU
rnacentral:lncRNA from 1 species